UACGUAGGGUGCGAGCGUUGUCCGGAAUUACUGGGCGUAAAGAGCUUGUAGGCGGUUUGUCGCGUCGUCCGUGAAAACUUGGGGCUUAACCCCAAGCUUGCGGGCGAUACGGGCAGACUUGAGUAUUUCAGGGGAGACUGGAAUUCCUGGUGUAGCGGUGAAAUGCGCAGAUAUCAGGAGGAACACCGAUGGCGAAGGCAGGUCUCUGGGCCACUACUGACGCUGAGAAGCGAAAGCAUGGGGAGCGAACAGG
rnacentral:rRNA from 1 species